AGCUCCAAUAGCGUAUAUUAAAGUUGCUGCAGUUAAAAAGCUCGUAGUUGGAUUUCUGGCUUGAAGUAUUUUGCCGGCCACGGUUUCGUGUGUUAGUGCUUGAUACUCUGGCCAUCCUUCCAAUUGCUGUCGAUCUCUCUUCAUUGAUUGGUCGGCAGUAUUGGAUCUUUUACUUUGAAAAAAUUAGAGUGUUUAAAGCAGGCUAUUGCUAUGAAUACAUUAGCAUGGAAUAAUAAUUUAGGACUUCGGUUCUAUUUUGUUGGUUUCUAGAACUGAAGUAAUGAUUGAUAGGGACGGUUGGGGGUGCUAGUAUUCAGCGGCCAGAGGUGAAAUUCUUGGAUUCGCUGAAGACUAACUUAUGCGAAAGCAUUCACCAAGGACGUCUUCU
rnacentral:rRNA from 1 species